rnacentral:lncRNA from 1 species
AUUCAAGUUCCAGUGUUAAAUAAUUCUAAGUCUUUUUCAGAGUUUGAGGUUCCAACAUUCUACUAGGGCAAAUAGAUAUUUCAUAGAUAAUAAUCAAGGUUCAUACAUCAUUCAUCAUCCUAAUAAAUAGAUCACACACUAGAAUCGCAUAAGUUCACAAGUUGCACAAUAGGCUACAAUAAUUAUACAAUUUUCCGAAUCAACCCAAUCACCACACAUCUUCCCAUGGCCGCGGUCCUCAUGGUGCUUUUCCCUUACCACGGUCCAUUUCUGGUCCUGGGUCCAACACAGACAAACACACAAUCACAAGGUUAGAUAGAGUAAGGAGUGACCAAUCGAUCCAAACCGGCCAGACUCACACGGCUAUCACCCGCGGCCUUGUCCGGUUACUCUUGGCCACACCUCUCACCUUAGGAGUUCGGUCUCCAGGGGCGACUUCCUUCUCUUUCUCCUUUGCCUUCUCCUUGUCUUUCUGUCUCAAAUCCAUCCUCUUGAUCACACGCCAAACACACCAGGAACACUCAAGAACAAUCUCUUGGAUCAAAUCGGCCAAUCCAAGGUUUGUGUCUCUCUUUCUCUCCUGAGUUUUCUCUGUGUUUCUCUCUGUGUUCAGAUGAAUAAAAUCAACCAGAAUGGCAGAAAAGAGAGAGAGAGACCGAGUUAAACUGUCCCCAACCGCCUAGGGUGGCAGUUACCAAGAAUCAGAUUCCCUUCUUCCCAAAACCGCCCCAUAACCGUCCCAUAACCGCCCCUUGGCGGUUUCUCCCCUUUUCUUCCUUUGAAAAAUCGAUCCCUGAGCCUCAGCUCACACUCUGGGAACUUGUCCACUCCCUGUCCCAAGUCUAAGACCAAUUUGGUCGAACCGUCCCGUACCCGGACCAUCGGCUCGCCCAGUAACCGUCCCAGACUCGUCCACACUGAUCCGAACCAAAAUGCACCGUUCACCGGAUUGAGCUGGUCUCCAGCUGUCCCAGCUGAGUGAGCUAGUCUACCAGCUCCCGUGAGCUGAAUAGAUCUUAGUGAACUGAAUACCAGCUGAACCGAGCUGAUUGAACUCAAACCAGAACUCGUCCAGCUUCCUAAACAAACACUCCUUUAACCUUGUUUCCAUCCUGUCCUGGUUAAGUCUCAGCUGACUGAUGCCCUUAACCUUCAUUUAGGGCCAUGAUACGCAUGUCUCAAGGUCCAAUGACCUGACUGGUGCGUCUCCCCGCACCAUGGCCCGUUCGGCCGAUCCUAUCUAGGAUCGGGGACAUGACAAGUCUCCCCCACUAACUUGGGAUUCGUCCUCGAAUCCAUGUUAAGUGUUCCCUCAGGAAGAAAUUGUCUGUACCAGUCCGGAUACAUAGCUUUCAUUUUUGCUUCUGUUUCCCAAGUGAUGAGGUCUUUACCAUUGUAAUCCCACACCACUUUGAUCAUGGGAACUGUCUUCUUCCUCAUAGCUUUCUCUGACCGAUCCACAAUCCGAACCGGCAAGGUUUCCAAAGCCAGGUCCUUACCAAGGUCCGCAGGAAUCUCGGGCAAGACAAUGUCUUGUUCAGACAAACAUUUCCGGAAUUGGGAUACAUGGAACACAUUGUGGUAUGCAUCCAUUGCUGAUGGCAAGUCCAACUUGUAUGCCACUGCACCCACUCUUUCUAUGAUUCUGAAUGGACCCAAGUACCUAGGAUCCAGUUUCUUUCGUCCAGAAACCCUGGUCCUACCCUUAAAGGUAAUCAUCUUGAGAUACACCAGGUCAUUGACCUCAAACUCAAGAUGUUUCCUGCGCUUAUCUGCAUAGCUCUUUUGGCGGUCCUGCGCCUCUUUCAUCUUCUCUUUGACCAUCCUGAUCUUUUCAGUGGUCUGUUCUACAAUUUCAGGACCCAACAUGCUACGCUCCCCCACUUGGGUCCAACAUAGGGGUGUUCUGCACGGCCUACCAUACAAAGCCUCAUACGGCGACAUGCCAAUGCUUGUAUGGAAGCUGUUGUUGUAAGCAAACUCCACUAAGGGUAAGUGUUUUUCCCAAGACUCUCCCCAGUCUAACACACACGCCCUUAGCAUAUCCUCCAAGGUUUGGAUUGUCCUUUCAGACUGCCCAUCCGUUUGAGGAUGAUAAGAUGUGCUCAUAUUCACUCUGGUUCCCAAGGCCUUUUGGAAAGACUGCCAGAAAUAAGAUGUAAAUCUUGGAUCUCUGUCCGAGACAAUGCUUGCUGGUACACCAUGCAACUUCACUAUCUCGUGUAGGUACACUUGCACAAUCCUAUCGACCCCAUCCCCUUUCUUGAUCGGCAGGAAAUGAGCCGACUUGGUCAGACGAUCAACCACAACCCAUACUGCAUCUUUCUUAUUCCUGGUCGUGGGAAACCCUAUCACAAAAUCCAUUGUGAUGUGAUCCCAUUUCCAUUCUGGUAUGGGUAGGUUCUGAAGUAGACCACUGGGAACCUGAUGUUCUGCCUUCACCAGUUGACAAGUGGGACACUUAGCCACCCACUCUGCAACAUCAGAUUUCAUCCUCACCCAAUGGUAGUACCUUUUCAGAUCCUUAUACAUCUUGUUCAGUCCAGGAUGAACUGAAAACUUAGACUUAUGAGCCUGUCUCAUAAUCUCUUCCUUGAGUUCCUUAUCAUUAGGAACACUGACCCUCCCAUUGACCAAGAUGGUACCAUUGUCAGUUGUCUGGUACUCGGUCUUGUCAUUGGCGGCUACCUUCUUUAGAUUUUUAUCCAGGCCUUGUUCUUGCCUGAUCCUGGUCAGGAGAUCGGCCUGGUUCACUGCCUCCAACCCCAAUGGCUCAUCUGAACCAACCAAGGUGUUGAGGUUCAAGGACCUGAUCAUCCCUUCCAAUUCAUCCGCCUCCCUCUCCGAUGACACUUCAGCCCUUCUGCGGCUCAAAGCAUCAGCCACUAGGUUAGCUUUCCCAGGAUGAUAAGCUAUGUCCAGAUCAUAAUCUGCAACAAACUCCAUCCAUCUCCUCUGCCUUAAGUUUAACUCAGGCUGGGUGAAUAUAUACUUCAAGCUCUUAUGGUCUGUGAGUAUUUGCACCUUGGCACCAUAAAGAUAUGAUCUCCAUAUCUUUAGUGCAAAUACUACUGCAGCCAUCUCCAAAUCAUGGGUAGGAUAGUUACCCUCAUGCUUCCUUAGCUGUCUGGAAGCAUAGGCUAUCACCUUCCCAUGUUGUGUCAAAACACAACCAAGACCAGUUAUGGAUGCAUCCGUGUACACCACAUAAGGCUGAUCAGUCUCAGGCAACACCAGGACAGGUGCAUUAGUCAACAUGUUCUUGAGUGCUGCAAAACUUUUCUCGCACUCCUCAGACCAUGUGAACCUCACGUCCUUGCCUGUCAGCUUAGUCAUAGGUUGAGCUAUGCUCGAGAACCCCUUGACAUAUUUCCUGUAAUAACCAGCCAACCCCAAGAAGCUUCUAACUUCCGUAGCAUUCUUUGGCUGUGGCCAUUCCUGAAUACAUUUGAUCUUAUCUUGAUCCACUGAGACUCCUUUAUCAGACACCACAUGUCCAAGGAACCCAAUGCUCUUCUGCCAGAAACUACACUUGCUUAGCUUAGCAAAGAGCUUAUGUUCCCUCAGACGGCCCAACACCGCCCUAAGGUGUCUUUCAUGGUCCUCUUUUGUCUUGGAAUACACGAGUAUAUCAUCAAUGAAAAUGAUCACAAACUCGUCCAAGUAUUCCCUGAAGAUGCUGUUCAUCAUCUUCAUGAAUGCAGCAGGUGCAUUGGUCAGUCCGAACGGCAUAACCACAAACUCAUAGUGGCCAUACCUAGUUCGGAACGCUGUCUUCCUCACAUCAUCUGGUGCAAUGGGGAUCUGAUGAUACCCAGAGGCCAGGUCAAUCUUGGAGAACCACUUGGCCCCACGGAGUUGAUCCAACAACUCAUCAAUCCUGGGUAAAGGGUACUUGUUCUUCACAGUCACCCUGUUCAAACCCCUAUAAUCAAUGCACAACCUAAAGCUACCAUCCUUUUUCUUAACAAAUAGGACUGGUGCUCCCCAAGGUGAUACACUAGGGCGUAUGAACCCCUUCUCAAGCAACUCCUCAAGUUGCUUCUUCAGCUCUGCCAUCUCAGCUGGUGCCAUUCAAUAUGGACUUUUUGAUAAUGGGGCCGUUCCAGGUUCCAAUUCAAUGAUGAAUGGGUCAGCCCUAUCAGGGGGAAUGCCAUGUAGUGCCCCAAACACAUCCUGAAAUUCCCGAACCAACGGUAUACCCUCGGGGUCACAGGCCCCUACAGCCUCAUCGGUGUAAACGGUAGCCAAAAAGGCCUCACAACCCUUUCCAAGCAUCCGUUCUACUUGGACUGCUGAAACCACCAAACUACAAGAGGUUGGCUUAAUUCCUUGGUACUUAAUCGGGGGUCCAAUCUCGUUCUCAAGUUGUACCCUUCCCCGGUGACAAUCUAGAGUUGCCCGAUACUUUCCCAACCAGUCCAUGCCCAAGAUCACUUCAUGAUGCUUGAGGGGGACAACAAUCAGAUCUAUAGGCAUCGGCCUAUCCAAGAUCACCACAGGGAUGUCCUUAACCAGACCGAGUGAGUUCAUAAUUUGCCCUCCGGCCGCACUCACUCGUUCAGGACCAUCCCAUGUUCCAUACUGGAACAAACCUUUUCCAAUCAUACUUGGACUCACAAAACUAUGUGUAGCUCCAGUAUCAAAUAACGUGUGUGUUUCCACACCACCAAUACUUAAGGUCCAUACACAAGACCCAUCAAAGUAUAUCUAUCCAUCCUAGGUUCCAUACCAUGCAAUUCUACUGGAAUUGUAAAAGUAGUGGUCUAGAAUAUUACCAGUGAUCGCUUGGAAAGGCUGAGUCCCACCCACAUCCUUGGAUAGUUCAUACACACGAGGUGUUGAGGUCUGACCUCGUCCCUGGACUGGCUUGUUAGCCUCUCCACGUCCCUUACCCUGGUUGCCUUGCAACUUAGGGCAAUCCCUGCGGUAAUGGCCCUUCUGGCCGCAGUGGUGACAGGUCCUGGACUCACCCAACGGGCUUGGACAAUCCUUUGCUGAGUGAUCCAUCUUACCACAUCGACUGCAGGCACCCAUGGCCUUCCAGCACUCUCCACCGUGGUAGCGACCACACUUAGGGCACUCUGACCUACCACUUGAGGCUUUACCCUCCUCGGUCUAGUCCCUCUUCCUCUUCUUGUCACCACUCUGACCCGAAGAUACCACUACACUCUUCAGCUUCUGCUUACCCUCCUCGGUGAGGUUGGUCUCCAGCAAGGCCAUCCUCUCAACCAACUCAGAAACCGUGGGGAACUUACAAACAGAACAGUAGGUUCGAAGCUCCACCCUUAGGCCUCGGAUGAACCUUCGGACCUGAACCUUCUCAUCCUCCAGUUCGCUUCCCACAUACCUCCUGAGUCGGUUGAACUCUUCUUCAUACUCCUGAACAGUCCUCCGUCCCUGAGUCAAGUCUAGGAACUUGGACUCCAAACGAUCCCACACCUCAGCAGGAAAGUACUUAUGGUUGAACUCAACCUCAAAGUCAGCAAAGUGCUCAAUGGUACCAUCGGUACGCUUGUCCAAAGCUAACCACCAAUUAUGUGCAUCAUUAUGGUUGAACUCAACCUCGAAAUCAGCAAAGUGCUCAAUGGUGCCAUUGGUACGCUUGUCCAAGGCUAACCACCAAUUAUGUGCAUCUCCCUCCAGGAAAUGCACUGCUAUGUCCUUUUGGUAAUCCUCAGGACAUCGUGUGGACUUGAAGUUUCGAACCAACCUGGUCCUCCACUCGUCCGCCUCCAUAGGAUCAACACUUCCAGCAAAGUGUUUGGUCCCCAACUUGGAGAUAUGCUCCAGCACCUUCAGGUAGUCCAUACCAUGCAAUGGCCUGACCGGUGGAUCUAUCUCAAUCACCUCAGCCACACGGCCAGCACCAACAUCAGCCACUCCAGCAGCAACCCGAACCGGGGGAUUAGCCUGUCCCAUGGACGAGUUCACCAAUGGUGUGAACGCCUGUGUCAAGGAGGCUAUCUGAGCUCCCAUGAUCUGCAUAGCCUCCAACAAGCCCCUUAUGGUCGGCUCAAUGACCUCCUCGGCACCAGUGACCCGAACAUUGUUUGCACCAACAUUCUGGCCACUCCCAGCACCAACAUUGGACGACCCAGUGUCGUCUCCAUGGACUUGCUCUUGCUGCUCGUCCACAUGAGUUUCAUUAACCUCAGUAGGAAGAGUUGGACCCACUGGAAGUCCGGUUACAUUGCCCACCUGCUCCACCUGAGCGGGUAGCAUUGUGGUUGGAAUGGUUCCAGCUGGUGACACUCUGGUCUGUUCAGCACCAUCCUGCCCCACUGCUCCAGACGCUUCAGUUGCCUCCUUUCCUUUCCGAGAUUUAUACUUCCUUGUACCCUUAGGAGUUACCAACACAAACAAAAGGUUAGUCCACAACUGAACACACAAACCUCAAUCAGUCCUAAGUUAAUCAGUACAAAAGAUUACUUAGAACCCAACUAUCUCACCAUGAGUCCAAACGGCCAAGUGUGUGGUGAACCAAUAACCCAACAAAUCCUAGAAUCAAGAAUGCUCUGAUACCAACUUGUAAGACCCGAUCCUGGAUUCCUCAAUCCAACCAGACCGCGGCCUCACUAAACAAUGCAACCAGUUUCAUUUACAUAUUCAAGUUCCAGUGUUAAAUAAUUCUAAGUCUUUUCCAGAGUUUGAGGUUCCAACAUUCUACUAGGGCAAAUAGAUAUUUCAUGGAUAAUAAUCAAGGUUCAUACAUCAUUCAUCAUCCUAAUAAAUAGAUCACACACUAGAAUCGCAUAAGUUCACAAGUUGCACAAUAGGCUACAAUAAUUAUACAAUUUUCCGAAUCAACCCAAUCACCACACAUCUUCCCAUGGCCGCGGUCCUCAUGGUGCUUUUCCCUUACCACGGUCCAUUUCUGGUCCUGGAUCCAACACAGACAAACACACA